UACAGAGGGUGCAAGCGUUGUUCGGAAUUACUGGGCGUAAAGCGCGCGUAGGCGGACCUGCAAGUCGGGGGUGAAAGCCCGAGGCUCAACCUCGGAACUGCCUUCGAUACUGCGGGUCUCGAGUCCGGGAGAGGUGAGUGGAAUUCCUAGUGUAGAGGUGAAAUUCGUAGAUAUUAGGAAGAACACCAGUGGCGAAGGCGGCUCACUGGCCCGGUACUGACGCUGAGGCGCGAAAGCUAGGGGAGCGAACAGG
rnacentral:rRNA from 1 species